GCCGACGGCGGGGCGUCCGGGUGGCUCGCGGCCCACUCGCGGUGGUCCGCCAGGUGGCGGUCGAAGGGGUCCGGCUCCGCGGCCGGUCCGGCGGCG
rnacentral:tRNA from 1 species